rnacentral:tRNA from 1 species
GCACCUGGCACUGUGGUCAAAGUGCCUGUCUUGUAAACAAGAAAUUCUGGGUUCGAAACCCUGCAGUGCG